GAGAAAGAGAAGAAGAGCGAACGGAGGAUGCCUUGGCUUCCGAAAGCGAAGAAGGACGUGGUAAGCUGCGAAAAGCUCCGGGGAUCCGCAAACAGGAAGUGAUCCGGAGAUGUCCGAAUGGGGGAACCCGUACGGUUGAAGGCCGUACGCCUGAGCGAUCAGGGGCGAACGCAGGGAACUGAAACAUCUUAGUACCUGCAGGAAAAGAAAGAAACAUCGAUUCCCGGAGUAGUGGCGAUCGAAACGGGAAGAGCCUAAACCGGAUGCGUUACGGCGUGUCCGGGGUU
rnacentral:rRNA from 1 species